AGAGAGAGAGAGUCAGACACACACACACGUACAAUAAUAUACAUUCAUCAUGAGUUUCGCUCGAAGCCACAAAAUUCCCCAAAGUAGUUUGUCUUUUUCUAAGUCACGCGUGGGAGUGUGCGGCUGAAUGUGUCUCUGUAUGGCGAGUGUCUAUUUUUCUGUGUGUGUGCGAGUGGUUUGGCAAACCGCGUUGAUCCUGAGCCUGGUGUCUCAUGCCUCCCACCGUUGACUCCUGUCAGAAGGCCCACAGCCACAAAAGCAUCCAGUCUGCAAACAAAGCCACUAACUCACAACAGCCCAAAAAAACAAGAGUUAGUGUGAACUAGUGUGAGUUUCUUAUCAUAUCGACGGAGCUGGUGUUUACAGAGACCUGAAACGCUAUUCACCACGUUUGCAUUUUUGUGUAGACAACUAAAUGUGCUACCUUGCUCUUGCGCUUGCAUUCUGUCACUAUCUUUGUCGUCGUUUAUUUGGUAAUAGUUUGAUCUGUUUCGCUCUAUGUUAAAAUGUAUUUUCUUUCAUCGUUGCCCCGGCUUUCCCUGCGAUUGUAUACAUUAUAACGUAUACUUUCUCUGCUUACAGCGCCACACACAGGCCUGGCAUAUAAACUACAGCCUUUAUAGUC